GGUGAACGCUGGCGGCGUGCCUAAUACAUGCAAGUCGAGCGAACGGACGAUAAGCUUGCUUCUCUGAUGUUAGCGGCGGACGGGUGAGUAACACGUGGAUAACCUACCUAUAAGACUGGGAUAACUUCGGGAAACCGUAGCUAAUACCGGAUAAUAUUUUGAACCGCAUGGUUCAAAAGUGAAAGACGGUCUUGCUGUCACUUAUAGAUGGAUCCGCGCUGCAUUAGCUAGUUGGUAAGGUAACGGCCUACCAAGGCAACGAUGCAUAGCCGACCUGAGAGGGUGAUCGGCCACACUGGAACUGAGACACGGUCCAGACUCCUACGGGAGGCAGCAGUAGGGAAUAUUCCGCAAUGGGCGAAAGCCUGACGGAGCAACUCCGCGUGAGUGAUGAAGGUCUUCGGAUCGUAAAACUCUGUUAUUAGGGAAGAAAAUAUGUGUAAGUAACUGCGCACAUCUUGACGGUACCUAAUCAGAAAGCAACGGCUAACUACGUG
rnacentral:rRNA from 1 species